AGAAGUGGUCCUGUCACAUACCUAACUAUCUUCUUUACCUCUGAUGCAUCUGAUACCUGAUUUAUGUUUGAGAUGGAGCAUCUCAACACUGAAAGAAAUGUAGUAUUUUAGUAAAAGCCAUAACAGAGUCAACGGGAUCAAAAAGAUUGUAUGUAAUCUCAAACUGCAAAAAUUAAAUAAUAAAAAAAAAAAAAAGAAAAAACUUUUAGAAGUAAAACUGGUUCUUAACCUUUACAGUAGGGAAUUAGAAGGAAACUUCUGUUUAGCAUUCUGAUAUGUAAUGCUUCAAGGCAAAACACUGAAAGUAAUGAGAGGCAAUCAUUAUGCUCUGAGAGAAAAUCCUGGGAGUAGAAGGAGUUUUCUCACUAACAACCAGUUCACUCCAGUAGACCAGGAGUUGUUUGGAGGUGAAAGACCAGGAAUGAGAGCUGUAGCUUCACAAAGAUUUUUGCUGGAAGAGCUAGUGAAGUAUCUACGUAUGCAAUAGGUCAAGAGCAUCAUUAAGCUCUAAUCUCUUGGAGGAGAAAAUGCAGGUGAGAAAACCUGCGUUAAGGGAUUUAAGUGCUCUGAGAUGGAAUUCAGGAUGAAGAUAGGUCUGUUGUGUCUGUUGCUGCUUUUCUGUCUCUAAUUGGCCAGUUCUUUACCAGCAGUACCUGAAAACUCAUCUGCUUCAGGAAUCGCUGAGGAGUUCCUUCUGUUAUACUGUAGCCAAUAACCUGAAAUUCAUUUUCUCAUAUGGGUAGAAUUUGAUAGAUAUCAAAUAUCAAUAAAAUUAAUAAAACUUAUAUAUGGCAU
rnacentral:lncRNA from 7 species